UUUUCUCAAAGGUGACACCGUCUUACAAGCCAAGGAAUUGACAAGGAGAAAUACGGCUCCUGACAGCAGUGAUGAGGAAACGUGUGUUUGAAUUGAUUGUUGCCUCACCUCUAGGGAUCUGCAGAACGGACCUCCUUUCCUUUGCGGCACAGCAAAAUACCCUUUUCCGGAAGGAGCCAAUCAAAAUCUAAUGCAGUGAAGUCUGCAGAAUCCCAUCUCCAAGCAAAGUCAACAGACUUCCAAGGCAAUAUGCCCAACCUCCAGGGUCACAAAUAAAAUGCGAUGAAUUCAGAAACACGAGCAUUCACUGGCUGUCUUUCUUAACAGUUGAACAUAAACCCAAGACAUUUUGUACCUUUUGGAUAUUGCGAUCAGUGCAGGAACUAAACUCAGUACUAAUGACAUCACCUUAAAGCAAUGAUUUAAUGAC